rnacentral:rRNA from 1 species
UACGUAGGGUGCGAGCGUUGUCCGGAAUUAUUGGCGUAAAGAGCUCGUAGGCGGUGUGUCGCGUCGGCCGUGAAAACCUGCAGCUUAACUGUGGGCUUGCGGUCGAUACGGGCAUCACUGGAGUUCGGCAGGGGAGACUGGAAUUCCUGGUGUAGCGGUGAAAUGCGCAGAUAUCAGGAGGAACACCGGUGGCGAAGGCGGGUCUCUGGGCCGAUACUGACGUGAGGAGCGAA